rnacentral:rRNA from 1 species
GACGAACGCUGGCGGCGUGCCUAACACAUGCAAGUCGAGCGAAGUGAGUACUACGGUACGAACUUAGCGGCGGACGGGUGGGUAACGCGUGGACAAUCUACCCUGUAGACUGGGAUAACGCCUCGAAAGGGGUGCUAAUACCGGAUAAUGUCGAGAAGCGGCAUCGCUUUUCGAAGAAAGGAGAGAAUCCGCUAUAGGAGGAGUCCGCGUCCCAUUAGCUAGUUGGUGAGGGUAACGGCCCACCAAGGCGACGAUGGGUAGCCGGCCUGAGAGGGGGAACGGCCACACUGGAACAGGGACACGGUCCAGACUCCUACGGGAGGCAGCAGUGGGGAAUAUUGUGCAAUGGGGGAAACCCUGACACAGCAACGCCGCGUGAGCGAAGAAGGCCUUCGGGUUGUAAAGCUCAAUAGUAUGGGAAGAUAAUGACGGUACCAUACGAAAGCCCCGGCUAACUACGUGCCAGCCGCCGCGGUAAAAC